CAAUAGCGUAUAUUAAAGCUGUUGCGGUUAAAAAGCUCGUAGUUGGAUUUCUGUCAAGUACAACUGGUCCGCCCUCCGGGUGAGCACAUAGUUUGGUCUUGGCAUCUUGCUGGAAAUUGUUGCUGCACUUGGCUGUGUGGCGCAGUGUCCAGCACUUUCACUUUGAGGAAAUUGGAGUGUUUCAAGCAGGCAAUGCCUUUGAACACAGUAGCAUGGAAUAAUUAGAUUGGGCUUUUGCUCCAAUUUGUCGGUUUCUGGAGCUGAGGUGAGAAUUAAUGGGGAUUGUUGGGGGCAUCCGAAUUUAUCCGUCAGAGGUGAAAUUCUUGGAUCGGCUAAAGACGGACAACUGCGAAAGCGUUUGCCCAGGAUGUUUUCAUUGA
rnacentral:rRNA from 1 species